rnacentral:rRNA from 1 species
CCUACGGGGGGCUGCAGUGGGGAAUAUUGGACAAUGGGGGCAACCCUGAUCCAGCCAUGCCGCGUGUGUGAAGAAGGCCCUCGGGUUGUAAAGCACUUUCAGUGAGGAAGAACGCCUGGUGGUUAAUACCCAUCAGGAAAGACAUCACUCACAGAAGAAGCACCGACUAACUCCGUGCCAGCAGCCGCGGUAAUACGGAGGGUGCGAGCGUUAAUCGGAAUUACUGGGCGUAAAGCGCGCGUAGGUGGCUUGAUAAGCCGGUUGUGAAAGCCCCGGGCUCAACCUGGGAACGGCAUCCGGAACUGUCAAGCUAGAGUGCAGGAGAGGAAGGUAGAAUUCCCGGUGUAGCGGUGAAAUGCGUAGAGAUCGGGAGGAAUACCAGUGGCGAAGGCGGCCUUCUGGACUGACACUGACACUGAGGUGCGAAAGCGUGGGUAGCAAACAGGAUUAGAUACCCCAGUAGUC